AAAUAAAAAAAAAAGAAAGUAAAGGAAGAUAAAGGUAGGAAAGUAGGGUAGGACCAUGAAUAAAGUCUGUACAGAGUCUAACACAUUACAUGAUACAUGAGGAUCAUGCUUCCACCAUGGUUCUCAACCAGAAAUGAUUUUGUCCCAUAGGGGACUUUUGGCAAUGUUAGCAGACGUUGGGGUUGUCAUGUUUGGAGUCAUGUUUGCAGUCAGCAAUGAAGAAUCAUCCAGGCCCAGAUGUGAGUAGUGACAUGGUGGAGAAAGCCUGCUCUAUAGCAUGCUCACCACCUGAUACGUUUUCCCCAGCGCCUAAUGGUAGUAUAGACUUUGGAGAAAGAGAAUUCCAGGGGUUAAUGUUAUCCCAGAAGCUUCCAGAGAGUUUAGGAAAUGUGAGUUGAGCUGUGAAGAAUCUAGAGGGGGAGAAAAAGACAUGCAAGGCCCAGGCAGUGGGGAAGAUCGAAGUAAUGGGAUGAGAUUGGACUCCUCAGUUUCAGGACACAGACUGAGCCCACUUUUAAGUGGCCUCCACCCUAUUGGAACCCACAGAUAUGAUUUGAAAAAGAUGUUAAACUUAUUAAACACAUACCCAUGUAGUAAGAAUGGAGCUCAUCGGUGGGCCAGCAAUUGGUGAAUCCGUAUUUUGUAACAGGAGGGAAGCAAAUGGGAAGAUAGAAUGAUGAUUGGAGGCUCAGGUGUACGAGAAAAUUCUGCCAUAGAGGGUGAACACAUGUUCCCAACUCACCAGACUUUUGACCAAGAAAAUAGGUAGAUUGUAAUAUUUGUGCUUAAAGAGAGCAUUUCUUUAAAGCAUUGAUCCUUUGCCCUUACAAGGUCAUGGACCACGGACUCUUCUGAGACUGAUAAAAUGAUGGAUUCUUUCCCAUUUCAAACAGCACACACUCAUUCUAAAUUUUGCAUAAAAUAUCAGCAGCCUCUUGGAGAUGUACAAGUCCCAGCAUAGUGAAGUGUACUUUUGUGUGUGUAGGUGCUUUUUCUCCCAGCAAGUAGUCAUUCCACAGUGCCGAUAUUAGCCGUUUUCUUUCAGCCAUAGGCUGGGAGGAACUGUCUAAAAGGCUUGGCAAGUGGGGUUCCCAGGGCCUGUAUCAGGUGGAUAAUUCCACUUCUAGUCAUAACCCCACUCUUGGUCCCAUCCUGUGUGGACACCGAGCUCCCCAUUUGCUCUCUGAGCCCUCAUGGCUUGUCUUGGUUUCUGUGGAGUUGGGAGCUAGUCUUAUUCCUACAAUCGUGGUCUUAGAGCAGCAAAACCCCAUCUGACAACUACAGUCCUUCCACCAGUGGGGAGACUCUUCUGUUCCUCACUGCCUGCUUUCAAGAAUGCUUCAUUUUGUGCAGCACAGGAUUCCACAUGUCUGUGCUCGUACCAUCCACAGGAGCAGCACCAUGACUUCCUCUUCCCUAGAACGCACUGCUGCCCCCUGCCCCCUGCAGUAGUUUCAUCUAGUAGAUACCUUGAUGGUUCACAGACUGGUCCCCAUGUACACAGAGGGCAAGGAGGGACUGAGGAAAGGAAGUCACUCUGGAUCUCUAGAUGGAACAUUUCAUAAGCAAGAGAACUUACAAGGCUUAUCUUGGGCAGCCACAAGAUGAGCAGGUCACUACACUUGCCUGCCAGCAUCUUAAGAAGACUUACCUGGAUUCAGUCGUGUACCAUCCAGGUGGUCUCAACGACACCUUACUCCAGCCUAUGUCAUUGGAAGAGCUCCCACUGUGGGAACAGGCAGGUCGCACAUUCCAAGGGAGGCGGGGGGAGGUGAGAUUUGGAUUGUCCAGAUCGAGCUUGAGGGUCAACCAGUGGUCACCAUCUCUCCAUUAUCUCUACCAACUUCAACUGCCAGAUGUAUUUGACUUUUUGCAUCCACUUAGUUAUUUUUAUUGAUAAUAAUAGCUACCAUUUAUCAAAGUCUUUAUUUUAUGCCAGGUGAUGUGAUAUGACCUGUAACAAAAAGAUAAGGGGAAUAAUAGGAACAAUUUCCAGAAAAACCAACACCAUCAAUUAUUGAUCCAAAAAUUUUGCUCAACAGAACAACAGGGAAGUUCCCCAAGGGAACUGGGGAUGACAGAGGAAGGACAUCUUGAGGGAGGAAGUAUAAAGCUGUGCUUCUAAAACAUAGAGACCCAGGUUAUAAUCCCAAGUAGAUGGAGCUCUGUGAUUUAGGGCAAGGUACGUAACCUCUCUGAUUCCUUAUCUGUAAAACAGUCCUUACAAGGAAUGGAAUGAGACAUUGUAUGUAAAGGGCUUACUUACUUCUUCCUUAUGUUUUUGUAGGUAACUAUCAUAGUUGCACUAGCCCUGAGAGAUGAGAAGAUUCCUUCAUCAUCUUAAACCAGGAUGAAUAAAAGAAGGGUGAUCUCAGAGACAGAGAGGUUAAUCAGGAGAUGAACAGGAAAAAGGCUUCAGUUGCUUACUGGUUGUUGGCCAGAGACCCUCCUGAGUGCCUUGCUACAUGGGCCUCUCCAGUAUGGCAGCUGACUUCCUCUAAGUGCGCAAGCUAAGAAGGCAAUGGAGAGACCAAGAUAGGAGCCAGUCUUUGUAAUCUAAUCAUGGAAGAGAUAUCUCCUCAAUGUUCCCCUAUUCUUCUGGCAGAAGCAGAUUCCUCAAGAGAAGUCGAAGUGCCUGAGCUCCUUAGAUCCUAUGACAUCUUCAUUUUCAACAUACAGCUUGCAAGAUCUCUGUGUUCUUUUCCAUCAAGCUGUGGAAAGAGAAAGAACAUGAAGGAUUAUGCAUAGGUAAUUUUAUGAGUCAAGUCUAAAAGUUGUUGCUCAUAUCUGUGACAUUCCCCUGGCCAGACAUAGGUCACAUAGUUAUAUCUGACUGAAAGUUCAGUGGGAAGUAGUCAAGCUAUAAUCUCAGGGAAACACAGGAAAUGGUUUCGGUGAAUGGCUGGCCAAUUUCUGCUACUUGCACCUUUGUGGGCAUCACAUACCUAUUUAACUCUUCCUGCCACAUAGUAGAAGACAGUUAUUUCAUGUCAAGAGAGACUACCAUCCGGGUAUUUAUGAUCUUCAGGUGAUGCUUUUUUUCCUCUACAUUAAGUUUGAAUCAUUUUGCAGCAUAUAAAGCAAAAAGCAAGUUUUUUGCUCUUCCAUGCUCACCCAGUAAGUAGUACUGGACCAGGGAUAAGAUAAUUGCAAUGAAAACUUCCAUUCAAAGAAAAGAGUAGGAUUCUACUGCAGUGUGUGGUCCUUGGCAAUGUUGAACAUUCUGGCAGGCAGGCUUUGUGCCUGCCCUCUUCCCUAACAAAUGGAGAAGAUUCCUCAAUUAGACGUUUAUUUUACUUUCUGAAAACAUUUCAUCUUUUAUUUUUUGCAUGUCCCGACUCUUCCCCUGGGAGGUGCCUCCCUAUUAAUUAUCCUCCACUAUCUUUCAGGAAGUUAGGUUUGGGGAGUAAACCUUUCUUAGGGGUUGCACAAAUUUUAAUUUUAAAUGAGAGAUAGAAAAGCAUGAGAAUUUUGUAAAAUUUUAAAAACUAUUCAGUUAUCUAAUUUACUAUAUUUGAUAAAAAGUUACUAUUUGCGGGACGCCCAGGUAACUCAGUGGUUGAGCUUCUGCCUUCGGCUUAGGGCAUGACCCCGGCCGGGGUCCUGGGAUCAAGUCCUGUAUUGGGUUCCCAGGACUGGGCGAGAGCUUGCUUCUCCUUCUACCUAUGUCUCUGCCUCUCUCUGUGUGACUCUCAUGAAUAAAUAAAUAAGUAAAUCUUUAAAAAAAAAAAAGGUUACUAUUUGCAUCUAUUUUAAUAUAAUUAUCAUAGGUAAAAAUGAGAAUAAAUGGGUUUAUUUGAUUCCAUUUGCUAUAAUAUUCAUCUUGAAAUAGAGCAUUUAUUUUAGUGCUCGAUAAAUUGAAUCUUACCAUAUAUUACAUGUAGCAUCAUAUAAAGGAUAUUUUUACAGAUUUUUCUUUGUUGAAUAUCACUCUGGAUUAAAUCUUUAAUUAAAAAAACUUUGAGUCUUUAUUAAGAUGUGUGAAAUGCUUUGAUGCUCUUAAGAUAAGAAGUGCUAAGUGCGAAGUAUAAUUAGAUUUAGCAAAUUUGCACAUGCUAAAAAUUGUGUUCAAAGACCACAUUGAUUUUUUUGUGAAAUUUGCAUUUUGGAUGAACUCCCAAAAUAUAUGAAGGAUAAUUUAUAUAGCUCAAGAAGACUAUUUUUAUUACUCCCUAUUUCAGUUUGGAAAAAAAGCCCCACAGAUGUUUUAUUAUCUUUUGAAAAAGGAAAUGAUAUUUCCUUAACAUGCCAUUUCCUGUGAUAUAUCACUUCAUACAUAUGGGGUUAAAAAUAGAAAAAACUCAUUAACUGUAGUGAUGUUAUACCUAAAAAGCUCUAUUUGGGUUCAAAACUAAUAAUUGCCUGAGCAUUAUCUUAAAUACACUUUUAAGGGACAAUGGAAGAUGACUGUUUGGAAAAAAUACAUUUCAUAAUGCUUGAAACAAAGGAAAUCCCCAUUAUGUAAACAAUUAGAUUUAAGAAAUCAAGAUACCUAUAUGGUAUUGUUUUAACUGUAUUUACAUAUCUAUGCGUAUAUACACUUCAGAGGAAUAAACAUAGAAAUAAGUAAUAAAAUACAAUGCAGUAAAAUGUUGGCAGUGAUUAUUAGCCAAUGAAAUUAUGAAUGAUUUAUUUUUUGUACUUUCUGUAUUUGCCACACUUCCUGAAAAUGUGCUUACAUGAAUGUAUAAUUUUUAAAAAUUAAACAUAAUCUGUUUGUCUCAAUGUGAUGAAUAAAAGAAAGAAAAUAAAUUAUUUCUUUUUUACUGA